GUUAUAUUCCCUCUGUUCCGAAUUACUUGUCGCAAGUAUGGAUGUAUCUAGAUGUAUUUUAGUUCUAUAUACAUUCAUUUCUGCGACGAGUAAUUUGAAACGGAGGGAGUAUAUA
rnacentral:pre_miRNA from 1 species